rnacentral:rRNA from 1 species
AUGAUGAAUCGUCAGUUUGCGAAUAUGAUAGUACACAAUUACCCCAAGGGAGUUUAUUCCUUGCGCCGUAUCAACCUCAUGGAGCAUCUCUUCUACCCUUCAACAGAAGCUGCCCAAAAAGCAGAAGCCAAUAAGAAGGGAUGGUUAUCCACCAUGUUGAAAGGGAGCCCCAAGCAGCGUCUGCCCAAGACGAACAUCAACUUCUCAUCACUGCCUAACAUGGCCGACUUAACGGCCAGACAUUUCUUCUCCCUGCUGAAAGGGCAGGGGGAGGGCUCUGUCAUGUUCGUCAGCCCUAACGUCCACACGAUGAUGUACGACACUAGCACGGACUUUGUCUUUGGCAUGCCCCAAGCCAACUUCUGUAAGCAGAGCGACUCAAUCUCCCUGUCCAUCACUCGGCGGGGCUAUGGCCAAGAAUACCACGAGCUGUAUGUCAUAGGCAAAGGAGAGGACGGUGGCUUGUUUGAGGUCUUGAAAUAUACCAGGACAACUGAUCUGAGCAAACCGCCUUGGUACUGGCGACCUCUGCCCUGCCCGCCAUUGUUUCCGCAGUGCCUGCCUGGCGGCAACAGCAAAGUUUGUGCUCCCUCUGCAGCGGUCGUGUUGGAUGCCACCACAAUAUGUGCCUCAUCCGUGGAUGCCGGAGCCUGCGCCUUCUUUGACACGGUAACCCGUGAGUGGAGACAGGCUGGCAGCUGGGUGCUGCCCGUCCAUGGUGCGGCAGAGUAUGUCCCUGAGUUUGGCCUCUGGUUUGGCCUCGACGAUGCCAUUGGCAACCCCAACCAUUGCCUGCGUGCUUUUGACUUCGAUUCCUCCAGGCAACCGGUGGUGCGGCACUCCUGGAGCUAUCUCAGCCGCCUGCCGGAUGAGUGCUUGCCACGGCAGAGGCACCUGCUAAACAUGGGCUCAGGUAAGUUCUGCAUCGCCACCAGCUUUCGGAAUCUCUUGAGGCACACCUCGUGCGCACCACUUGAUGGUGCGGUCGAUGAGCUUACCAUCUUGACCGGUGUGGAGGUGGUGCGCGAUGUCAAUGGUUUCCAGAUCAUCAAGCACAAGUCUGAAUGUUACAGUUUGGAGGACAAUAGAAUCCACUGCGUGCUCUGA